UCAGGAUGAACGCUGGCGGCGUGCCUAAUACAUGCAAGUCGAACGAGGUAGCAAUACCGAGUGGCGAACGGGUGAGUAACACGUAGGUAACCUGCCCUUAAGACUUGGGAUACCCAGAGGAAACUUUGGCUAAUACCGGAUAACAACAGAGAAGGCAUCUUCUUUGCUUGAAAGGCCCUUCAAGGGUCACUUAAGGAUGGACCUGCGGCGCAUUAGCUAGUUGGUGAGAUAACAGCCCACCAAGGCGAGGAUGCGUAGCCGAACUGAGAGGUUGAUCGGCCACAUUGGAACUGAGACACGGUCCAAACUCCUACGGGAGGCAGCAGUAAGGAGUUUUCGGCAAUGGGGGGAAACCCUGACCGAGCAACGCCGCGUGAGCGAUGACGGCCCUAUGGGGUUGUAAAGCUCUGUUGUAAACCAUGAAUGAUAGCUUGAGGAAAUGCAAGUUAUUUGACGACAGCUUACCAGAAAGCCACGGCUAACUACGUGCCAGCAGCUGC
rnacentral:rRNA from 1 species